UGAAGUUUCUUUUUUGACUCAGUAUAUUUAUAAAUAUUAUGACGUACAAAGUAAUAUUUCUUAAUAUACUUAUUUCUCAAAGUAUGGUAGGCUGGAUAGACACAAAGCAAAUUAUAUUCAUCUUUAAUGACAUUCAAAUCACACAUUUUACAUAUUCUAUUUCUAUUUUAUUCCAAUAUAUCUACCUGUUUCUAUUAACAAAUCAUCGGAUGAGCAACGAAAUUUUGCAAGCGUGAUUCUAUUUUUCCGAACAUUCAAAGAUGAUGAAUAUGUUUCAUUGUAUAUAGAUUGCUUAAACAUGCUGUAAUUAAAAAAAAUCCCAUUCAUUUGAUACAGAUGUUUGGUCAAGCCAAUACGAGUACUUCAAAUCAGCAUCCCCUCAUACCCUCACAUCCUCACCACUAUAUGGCUGGAAUAAUGCCGAUUUGACGUAAACCCAACUCAACCGAUCUGCACAUCGACUUAAAAUUAAUGAAAGGAUUGUUGAGGCGAACAUAAAAUCAUCAUAGCUGAUUGACUGAGAGACGCAACAAACCUCUUUCACUAAUUUUGAGAAAUUUCUCUUUGAAGAUGGGGCCAGUGAGUUUUGCUUUUACGCCGCUUUUAGCAAUAUUCCAGCAACAUUACGUCGGGGGACACCAGAAAUGGGCUUCACACAAUGUACCCAUGUGGGGAUUCGAACCCGGGUCUUCGGCGUGACGAGCCAACGCUUUAACCACUUGGCUACCCCACCGCCCCCUAGAUGGGGCCAGUGAACGAUCUCAAUAUCAUUAGCAUGUUGUUGUGAAGCCCUGUUGAACAGUGAUGAUGUAAACUGUUCGCGAAAAUAUCAGCGUAUCCUGCAACCUGUAACAAAAGGUGAUGUUUUAAAAAGGAAUCGUCGUCAUUAUGAAUAUUUUAUGAAUCACAUGGGGAAUCCGAUCAAGUAUACAGGUCCCAGCAGCCUACUCCGAUGGGGUAUACAGGACCCAGCAGCCUACUACUUGGGAAUAUAAAAGUCUAUUUAUAGCAUACUCCGGGGGAAUAAACAGGUCUAUCUAUAUGUAGCCUACUCCGAGGGAGUAGGCAGGUCUAUAUGUAGCCUACACUGAGGGAGUAUACAGGUCUAUAUGUAGCCUACUCCGAGGGAGUAUACUGGUCUAUAUGUAGCCUACUCCGAGGGAGUAUACAGGUCUAUAUACAGCCUACUCCGAGGGAAUAUACAGGUCUAUAUGUAGCCUACUCCGAGGGAGUAUACAGGUCUAUAUACAGCCUACUCCAAGGGAAUAUACAGUUCUAUAUGCAGCCUACACCGAGGGAGUAUACAGGUCUAUAUGUAGCCUACUCCGAGGGAGUAUACAGGUCACAGCAGCCUGCUCCGAGGGAGUAUAUAUAUAGAGAUAUAUACAGAGUUUUACCUUUUCGUAUGAACCCUCUGAAAGGUGAGUGACAACUGAGGGCGACAGGUAAGUGACAACUGAGGGUGACAGGUCAGUGACAACUGAGGGUGACAGGUCAGUGACAAGGGGGGGUGACAGGUGAGUGACAACUGAGGGUGACAGGUGAGUGACAACUGAGGGUGACAGGUGAGUGACAAGGGAGGGUGACAGGUGAGUGACAACUGAGGGUGACAGGUGAGUAACAACUGAAGGUGACAGGUGAGUAACAACUGAAGGUGACAGGUGACAGGUGAGUGACAAGGGAGGGCGACAGGUGAGUGACAAGGGAGGGCGACAGGUGAGUGACAAUGGAGGAUGACAGGUAACAGGUGAAUGACAACUGAUGGUGACAGGUGACAGGUGAGUGACAACUGAGGGAGACAGGUGACAGGCGAGCGACAGCUGAUGAUGACAGGUGACAGGUGAGUGACAACUGAGGGUGACAGGUGAGUGACAGUUGAGGGUGACAGGUGACAGGUGAGUGACAGCUGAUGGUGACAGGUGAGUGAUAACUAAGGGUGACUGGUGAGUGACAACUGAGGGAGACAGGUGACAGGUGAGUGACAAGCAAGGGUGACAGGAGAGUGACAACUGAUGGU